rnacentral:rRNA from 1 species
AGUGAACGCUGGCGGUAGGCCUAACACAUGCAAGUCGAACGGCAGCACAGGAGAGCUUGCUCUCUGGGUGGCGAGUGGCGGACGGGUGAGGAAUACAUCGGAAUCUACUCUGUCGUGGGGGAUAACGUAGGGAAACUUACGCUAAUACCGCAUACGACCUACGGGUGAAAGCAGGGGACCUUCGGGCCUUGCGCGAUUGAAUGAGCCGAUGUCGGAUUAGCUAGUUGGCGGGGUAAAGGCCCACCAAGGCGCCGAGCCGUAGCUGGUCUGAGAGGAUGAUCAGACACACUGGAACUGAGACACGGUCCAGGCUCCUACGGGAGGCAGCAGUGGGGAAUAUUGGACAAUGGGCGCAAGCCUGAUCCAGCCAUACCGCGUGGGUGAAGAAGGCCUUCGGGUUGUAAAGCCCUUUUGUUGGGAAAGAAAUCCAGCUGGCUAAUACCCGGUUGGGAUGACGGUACCCAAAGAAUAAGCACCGGCUAACUUCGUGCCAGCCGCCGCAGUAA